rnacentral:rRNA from 1 species
AAUCUUCCACAAUGGACGAAAGUCUGACGUAGCGAUGCCGCGUGCGUGAUGAAGGUCUUCGGAUCGUAAAACUCUGUUGUUAGGGAAGAACAAGUAUCGUAGUAAUAUGCCGGUACCUGGACGGUACCUAACCAGAAAGCCCCGGCUAACUACGUGCCAGCAGCCGCGGUAAUACGUAGGGGGCAAGCGUUGUCCGGAAUGAUUGGGCGUAAAGGGCACGCCGGCGGUUAUUUAAAUCUGAUGUGAAAUCUUGUGGCUUAAACACAAGCGGUUAUAGGAAACUGGAUAACUUGAGUACAGAAGAGGGGAGUGGAAUUCCACGUGUAGCGGUGAAAUGCGUAGAGAUGUGGAGGAACACCAGUGGCGAAGGCGGCUCUCUGGUAUGUAACUGAAGCUGAGGGGCGAAAGCGUGGGUAGCGAACA